ACAAGGUCGAGUAUGAGGACCAAA
rnacentral:siRNA from 1 species